UACGGAGGAUUCGAGCGUUAUCCGGAUUUAUUGGGUUUAAAGGGUGCGUAGGCGGACUGGUAAGUCAGCUGUGAAAGUUUACGGCUCAACCGUGAGAUUGCAGUUGAUACUGUUGGUCUUGAGUAUAGAUGAGGUGGGCGGAAUUUGGGGUGUAGCGGUGAAAUGCUUAGAUAUCACAAAGAACUCCAAUUGCGAAGGCAGCUCACUGGGGUUAGACUGACGCUGAUGCACGAAGGUGUGGGGAGCAAACAGG
rnacentral:rRNA from 1 species